UUGGGGAGAAGAGAAACUCCUUUCUGAGUAGCCCAGGAGGCAGGGAAAUGCAUGCAGGGCAGGUUCUGUGUCUGGACUGAUAACAGCCAUUGUUUCUAAUGACCCUUGUUCCUGAGCAACAUGUCCAAGGCUCGACAUUUCUGUGUGCCACAGCCCUGUGCUGACAUUGACCACAGCAUACACCCCAGUGUGCUGGUGCUAACUGAACCCUGACAGUGCCCUCCCUGGGUCAUCUUACUCUCCACAUCCUUAAUGCCUCAUACAGAAUUGGGGUGGGGGACAGCCAGUUCCUGUUUGCUGGUUGAAGGAAGGAAUGAACCCAUAUGGUGGGAGCAGGGCCGAAGAGGCAGAGGGACUAGUUAGAGCUGGGUUCAAAUCUCUACACCUCAUCUCCUAGCUCUGCGGCCUUGGGCAAGUCACUUAGCCUCUCUGAGCCUCAGUAGUCUUAUCUGUGAAAUGGGAUACCUAGUACCUGCCUCACUGCGUUGCUGUCAGGUUCAGUGAUCCACUGUGUACCCAAAGGGUGGCACAGUGAUUGGUGCCUGCUGAGCCUUUGCUCAGUAAACAAAGCAAGAACUUUCUUCCAAGUCUCUGCUCGUUCCUGAAUCCAUGUGUAGUAUGACUCACCCCUUCAGGACCCCAUCUUUCUGGCAUCUUUGGGUCCUCUGCUGCUUCCAAACUUCAAGCCUCAGCCUGUCCCACAAGGGGACAGACACAGGGGACACAGAGCUGCCCACCUUCGCUUUGAGGGAGCCUGGAGGUCACCUCUUUUGUCCAGCCCUCCCUCUGGUGGUCCUUGCCUUCCUUCCCCAACCUUCAUCUUAGCCAGUCCAAAGGGACGUCCCAGAGAACACGCAAGCUGGAAGGUGGAAGGUGUUGGAAUUGGUGGGAAAAAAGCCCACGCUGGUGAGGGCGAGUUCCUGAGGCCUGGGCGCCUUGCACCCCCUGGGCUGGCCUGCUUCCUACAGAAGGGUCCCUGGUACCUUCUCUUUUCCCAGCCCGGAGGCUGUCGGGUUCCCACAUUACCACAUGAAUGGGGCACAAGCACCCCCCACCACUCGAACAAACAAUUUGGCUAGCAAAUUGACAUAAUUACAAGAGACAGCAAGGGAAGAAAAACGCUCCCCCCACCCCCCGGCCCCCCAGCGGGCGGCUCCCACCGAGUUCCUCCGGGCUUUGUGGGCCGGGCGCUCAGGACUGAUUAGAAACCUCGUGGCCUUUUCAAGAGCCCCAAGUGAUUGGUUCCUUAAUCUGAUUACAAUUUGCAGAGCCCUCCAGCCGCCUCUGAAGGGCCGUUCUCAAGCGCCCGCUAGAUGAUGGGUGAGUACACACACACACACACACACACACACACACACAAACAGCACCCACUUGGGCCUGUCAGGCGGCGCUUGGCCACUUUCGUUAUCAUGCCUCACUCCCUCAAUUAGGCACCUCAGGUGCCAUUCCCUGUGCCCCAAACCUCAGACACACACAGGGCCUGACACUGCCCCUAAUACCUGGGGUUGUCCAUCUUUAGAGGGUCCCACACAGAUACAAUCCCCAGGCCAGAGGUAUAUGUGCCUAUGCCCCUGUGAGUAUACCUUCUCAUCUCCCACCGUCCUCCGUGCGGCCGCCCCGAGCAUCCAGGGUGAGGCUUUCUGACCCCAUCGAGGGCAGCCUCUCCCCAGCAGCAGUAUUUCUGGGGCCCCUUGGGCUGCAGCUCCCACAGGCUUAGGCCCAGCAGGUGGCCCGGACACUGCUCAGGCCCAGGCUGCCCAGGCACGGCUUCUCCCAUGUUGGGAACUCAGCUUGCAGGGGCUUCAGUCAGUGAGUGGCCUUAGCCCUCCACGUCCAAUUUGUAUCUCUUAAUCCCUGAGGCUGAGCCCCAGUGGCUCCUUUUCUUGUACUUGCUGGGGCUCUCAUAGGCCCCAGCAACUCAGAAUAGGAGUGUGGUGGGGAGCAAAGCAGGGGCCGAGGCAGAAGGGGACAGAAGUGGGGGCUCUGCCCUUGUUAACUGCUCUGCCCAGGAGAUGGAAGUUGGGUGUGUGUAUGAGGAUAGGGAACAGGUGCAGGGCCUUCCAGAGUGACCCCCGCCCCCAGCCUGCUGUAACUCCAUCUUUUGUGCACCCCAGGCUGGAGGCCCUGGGAAGGGUAUUGUCUAGUCAGGAACCCCAUCCUUUUGCCAGAUCGUCCUAAAUGCCUGGAGUCUGGAGCCAAAGAGCAGGGAACACAGAGCCCAGGUUCUGACACUGGAAUCAGGAUCGGUGACCUUGAAUGAGUUACUUAUCCGAUCUGGGCCUCAGUUUCCCCACGUGUAAGAUGGGAAUGCUGCAGCCUCUCUCUCUCAGGGUUGCUGGGAGGCUAAAUGAGCCGAGGCACAGAAGACCCUCAGCACGGCACCCAGCACAGUCAGCACUCCAUGCCAGACUGUGUCAACGUUCAUAAGCCAAGAACAAGAGGGGACUUGAAGUACAACCAUCAAACACACGGAUGGGGUGGUUUGUGUGCACCCCGUAUCCCUGUGGGGUAGUCUGUGUGUACUCCCCUGUAUCCCUGUGGGGUAUUCUCUGUGUGCACCCCCGUAUCCCUGUGUGGUGGUCUGUGUGCACCCCACAUCCCUGUGGGGUGGUCUUUGUGUGCACCCCCGAAUCCCUGUGUGGUUUGUAUGCACCUCGUAUCCCUGUGGGGUGGUCUGUGUGUACUCCCCUGUAUCCCUGUGGGGUGGUCUCUGUGCACCCCCGUAUCCCUGUGGAGAGAAACUCAGGCCCUACAGGCUUCCUAAGGACCUUCACUUUACAGCUGGGUUUUCCAAGACGAGCUUCUCAGUUGCCAACGUUUGUCAGCUCUACCUGAUCAGAUGACCCAGUGCUGGUUUGGGAAACAGGGGCCUCUACUCAGCUCUCUCCCAGGGAUUUGAGGCAGGAGUAUCUAAGGUGAUGCAUGCGGACUGGAUAGUAGAGGCUACUGAUUGCCAACCCCUCCUUUGUCGGCGUGGUAGCUGAAAAAUGAAAGUACUUCUGAUUGGUCCCCUCCUACAACCAAUCAGACUGGUUGUGGGCCUACUCUUCCCCUCCUGCAACCAAUCAGACUGGUCGUGGGCCUACUCUUCCCCUCCUGCAACCAAUCAGACUGGUCGUGGGCCUACUCUUCCCCUCCUGCAACCAAUCAGACUGGUCGUGGGCCACUACUUCAUUUGCUUAGAGUGAACCAAUGGGAAACUCCUGACGGAUAUUUAAACCCCAGAAAAUUCUGUAACUAUCACGCUUGAGCUGUUGCUCGAGAUUACUCUCGUUCUUUGGCGUGUACUGUUAUUUAAACUGCAUUUCUGCUUAUGCUGCUGUGUUUUGUUUGUAUGUUUUAUUCAAUUCUUUGUUUAAAACACCAAGAACCCGGGCAACUCCACUUAACUGAUAACAUAUGUUGGCAAGCCAGCCUGGAGAGAGCAUCAGGCUUCAGAUGAUCAUGUGACAAGCUUUCCAGCCGAUUCCAAAUAAAGACAGCACCCCGGCCAUCAAGAAACUACCCUGACUAUCUCCACUGGAUGGAUCAGGGCGGGAGUUCUGAGAUCCCCAGUAGACUGACAAAGUUGCAUUGGCUUGGGUCAGCAGGAUGACCCUCAGUCCCCCUCCCCAGCUUCAGUGUCUCCA